rnacentral:tRNA from 1 species
GCUCUAGUAGUGCAGUUGGUUAGUGUACGGUACUUAUAAUGCUGAGGUUGAGAGUUCAAGCCUCACCUGGAGCA